rnacentral:tRNA from 2 species
GGGGCCAUAGCUCAGCUGGGAGAGCGCCUGCUUUGCAAGCAGGAGGUCGCCGGUUCGAGCCCGGCUGGCUCCACCA